AACAUCGCGCACCUGCGGGAACCUGCGGAAGGAUCAUUACAGAGUUGCAAAACUCCCUAAACCAUUGUGAACGUUACCUAAACCGUUGCUUCGGCGGGCGGCCCGGGUCCUUCCCGGCGCCCCUCGGCCCUCGCGGGCGCCCGCCGGAGGUAAACCUAACUAUUGCAUUGUAUGGCCUCUCUGAGUCUUCUGUACUGAAUAAGUCAAAACUUUUAACAAUGGAUCUCAGAUCGGAAGAGC
rnacentral:misc_RNA from 1 species